CCAAUUUUUAGUUUCGGCGGGGGAAGAGUAGUGAGGCAUUUUUGUGGCGGCUCGGUGCGCGGCGAAUUAAUAGUUUCCAUCACACUCCUCCUGUAUAAACUUAAACGUGAAAUAUAUCGCCAACAGGUUGACAGAAACCAGAAAUUUCAAUACCAAUUUAAUUUAAUACUCUGUCUAUUUAUGGUGUUUUUUGGGUAGGUUGUCGUUUGAAAAUGUUUUUGAACGAGUUUUGUUCGCAUAACAAACAAAAGAUGCUGGUUAUUGGUAUCGAGGUGUUAGUGGUCGGAAUUCGUUACAAUUAUUUCCGAUUUCGUACUUUUGAAAUAUAACUAUUCGAUGAUGAUGAUGUGACGUCUUGAUUUUGCAGCUUUUAUUUUAGAUUCUGGGCGAGAGCGGAAUGU